AUUGAACGCUGGCGGCAUGCCUUGCACAUGCAAGUCGAACGGUAACAGGUCUUCGGAUGCUGACGAGUGGCGAACGGGUGAGUAAUACAUCGGAACGUGCCUAGUAGUGGGGGAUAACUACUCGAAAGAGUGGCUAAUACCGCAUGAGAUCUACGGAUGAAAGCAGGGGAUCGCAAGACCUUGUGCUACUAGAGCGGCCGAUGGCAGAUUAGGUAGUUGGUGGGAUAAAAGCUUACCAAGCCGACGAUCUGGAGCUGGGCUGAGGGGACGAUCAGCCAAACUGGGACGAAGACACGGCCCAGACUCCUACGGGAGGCAGCAGUGGGGAAUUUUGGACAAUGGGCGAAAGCCUGAUCCAGCAAUGCCGCGUGCAGGAUGAAGGCCUUCGGGUUGUAAACUGCUUUUGUACGGAACGAAAAGCCCCGGGUUAAUACCCUGGGGUCAUGACGGUACCGUAAGAAUAAGCACCGGCUAACUACGUGCCAGCCGCCGCGGUAA
rnacentral:rRNA from 1 species